rnacentral:rRNA from 1 species
UACGAGGGGGGCUAGCGUUGCUCGGAAUCACUGGGCGUAAAGCGCACGUAGGCGGAUCUUUAAGUCAGGGGUGAAAUCCUGGAGCUCAACUCCAGAACUGCCUUUGAUACUGGGGAUCUCGAGUCCGGAAGAGGUGAGUGGAAUUCCGAGUGUAGAGGUGAAAUUCGUAGAUAUUAGGAAGAACACCAGUGGCGAAGGCGGCUUUCUGGACUGUAACUGACGCUGAGGCAUGAAAGCGUGGGGAGCAAACAGG